AAGGGUGAUAAGGGGGACCCCUGGAUUGGGGGUGUGUGGAGGGGGUAGGGGGCGGCAGGGGUCCAAGCCAAGCCAAACGGUUUUCUCACGUGCAAACUCGCAAUCCAAUCCAUUCGGAGUUGAGCCGAGGAUAGGAGGGGAAAGUCUAUUAAAAAAAAAAAAAUCAGGAGCAUCUCUCUGAGAAGCCCUUUCAAACAAAAUCAAAACAGGACCAGAGAAUCUCAGACCGUCUCUAACAUCCCUGCUGCGAGGCCCGCGGGCUCUGGAAUCUCGCACGUCACCUGGCCCCAGCAGGGCGGCCAGCUGAGGGGUUUAUUUUAUUUUAUUUUAUUUUAUUUUAUUUUAUUUUAUUUUAUUUUAUUUUAUUUUUUGAAGUUAAGGCUGAAUCUCGGCUUCAGUGCUUUUUGCCAACCUCUCCACUGACAGGAACCAGCAAACUUCAGGACUCAAAUGAGCGUCUUAAUUUAUUGAUGCAAAACAGGUCAAAACUACCAAAAGGGCCAUUUGGACAUCAACCUAAGGGCUCAGAGUGACCUGUACUGUGUUCUUUUUUCCUUUGUAAAGAGAAAAGGGACCAGAAAUGAUGACCUUCUGAACCCACCCACUCUGCACCCUGCAUUGAGACCCACUUUCAGUCCUCCUCGAUGACUCGAAAUUAAUGCUCACUGAUAGCAAAGUUGGAAAAGCAAUGUGGAAUUUCUCUCCUUGUCGUAGAAAAGGCGGUGUGCUCAUAAUUGUUAUGCUCACGUCGUAUAAAUUAGAAGGUGGAUACGUUGAAAACCUCAACCAGUUCCUGAGGCAAGACAUGUGAAAUGGCAACAACUAAAAGGAUGUGAAGACGAAAGUGGAGAGUGAUUAAGACAUACUGUAAGAUACAUCCUGCAUCAAGCACAAUGAAUGAUCUCCAAAAUCUCUGAUGUCGAAGCCAUAUCCUAUUGUCCAGAUUAAGGGACCCCCUUCCUGAUUGCAGGAAGACCAUUUCUAAGGCAAAAGAACGUGGGUGGCUGUACUCCUCUGCUAGGACCUACGUCAGAGUUAACGUAAAAGCUUCACAUGUGAGAUAAAUGCACUCCAAGACUCCUCACAAGGAGCUCUUUGGAGCUUCAGAUGUGAAAUGGAUCAUUCCUCAAUCUGUAAUAGACCCUUCUGUGAAGCUCUUCAAUCAAACCUGAGAAUAUAAGUUCUUUUCUGGAGCAUAGGAAGACUGUCAAUCAAGGUGUGACCUUACACACUGUCUGUGUGUAAUACCUGGAGACAACAAGCUGUAGAAGGAAUGUCGUAUGCACCUUUGAUUUCUUCCCAUUUGUCGUUUUCUUCCUGAGAACCUUCAGGCGUUUUGUAGCAUCCUAAACAGAAGGAUAUUGAAGGGAGCUGAUUCUGCUUUGAUCCUUGUGCUUGUUGUCAAAGCGCUUGGGAUUGAAGAGACUGUUGGCUACAAUUGACUGUGACAAUUAGGAGAUGAUCAGAGCCCUAGAGUGGAGCACUUAAAGGGUUUGCAUUUAAAACACUCUUGGAGCACUAAUUGUAUAAAAUUCUGGUAACUGCACAUUCUCUUUUUAGAGAGGUAAUGAGUGAAUGAAUGAAAAGGCAGGGAUUAUUGGCCAUUCUAAGGGGGGAUUGUCAGAACAUUUCUACUUGACUGAAAUUGUUUUGGAAGGUGAGCUGGAACAAGAAUCUUGCAACUAAAAUGAAGUGACUCUGCAUGUGGUUCUUGGAUGUUUCUUUCAUCAAAGGAUUCCGCAGAAUUGUUCUUAGGCAUAGAAGUUGAUUUAAAUUUUAUUUAUGAGAAAAUAUUUAGGUGAAUCCAAUGAGAACAUUAUAAAGUAUGUGUAUUUGACUCAGCAGGUAAAUGAGAGUCUUUGAAAACUCACUUGGAAUUAUUUGAGAUGAGUUUUCCUAUUAUCAUCACGGUAUUCCCCCCCCCCCCGCCAGUAUAGAGAUUGCCAUGUUGUGACAAAUAAACUAUUGAAAUACUUCGAAAAGUUUUUAGAAAUGUGCCCCAAGGAAACAAUAUGUAAAUUGUUUAGUUAAUUCACAUGUCUAUUUAGCAAAAUGUUGCUGUUACUGAAAAGUCCUCGAACCUUUAGCACGACAUUCCAGAGCAUCUACGGUCCUAUUUGAAUGUACACCUCUUUGGUUGUACAUGUUUGGAAGUGAUUAGAGUUACCAGGCUUAGCAAAUAAAAUUAAAGAGUUCCUAGUUAAAUUUGAAUUUCUGAUGAAUAAUGAAUAAUUUUUGAUAUAUAUAUGUCUUAUCAAUAUUUGCAUUUUAUCUGGCAACCCUAGGUGGCACUCUGAUUGGACAGACAUUGCAAAUAUGCAUUGAAUGGACAAUUUAAUUAUUUAUAAAUUAUAAAUUGUCAUUUAUAAAUCAUUCUACUUUUCACUGUCAGAAUAGGUCACCAAACUUGCCCCUUCAAAUGGAAAUCAAAAGUCUCUUUAACUCAUCAGUGCUGGGUUUAAUUUCCCCCAUAAUUUUCCCAGGGCAAGGUGUGACUUGUCAUUUCAAGCCUAGAGUAAUUUCUGGCUGACUAAUAUCAUGGAGACUUCAGAGAAGGGGACUGAGGACCAGGCUUACCUACAUUGAUCAGGCUCUGACUGGAGUGUUUGGUGGUUACAGGAACAGAGGACUGAAUGAUACGAUGAGGACAUACUAUCUUUGUGAAGCUACAUCUUUCCUUUUGUGGCAGUAUGGUGACGACACAUACAUAUACAUUUGUUACCGACACUCCUGAGACGGUCACCAUCAAGGUUCCUUCUGCCCGGAGUCAUUGGAACCAACAGAAUCAGAGUGAGUUCGGUUUGGAAGCAAAGGAAAGCUUUAUUCUUGGAUCAAAGAACGGAGAGGUGCGAGGAGAGAUCUAGAGCACGUGCUGUUUUCUGGACAGGCACGGGCGGGGCUGCCUUGUACGAGUGUCCUCAGCGGGGGAGGGGAGGGGAGGGGACGGAGUUCUCGCGGGACAGGUGCAGCCGCGCUGCUCACACUCCCAAUCACAAUGCAGGGCGCAGCGUCUCUGCACACGGCCCCCAGCCGCCCCCACCCCCACCGCCGCCGCCGUGGACUGAGUGUUGUGCGCCGUGCAGCGCCUCUGCUGGAGGCCCGUCAGCUGAGGUGCUGGGCGCAGCCGUUUCUGAAGGGCCGGGUGCGAGGCCUCUGCGUACAGACCCCUGUGAACCAGUGAAACUAGACUGAGCGCAGAGGAUAAGAAAAAGAAAGAGAACGGAAAGGGAAAAUGUGAGUACAGAGAAAGUGGCACUGAUUUCCAUCACAAAAAGAGAUUCUACAAAGCUCUGGAGGAAAGUCACACCACAGCAUAGGCUGAUCCUGGAGUGUAUCUGAGGAAUACAACAACAUAUAUUCAACACACCAAGUUCUAAA